GCGCCCCUUCCCGGGCAGUUCCUCUCGGCGCCCCCGAGUCCUCCCCGCGCGCCGCUUCCCGGGUGGGCCCUUCCACCAGAACCCCCUGGUAGAUCCUCCCCUAGUGCCCUGGGGUAGAGGGGAGAUCCUCCACAAGGGUUAUUUCCCGGGUGAUCCCUCCCUGUGCCCCACAGGUGAGUCCUGCCGUAGCUCUCCAGGGGUUCCUCCUGAUGCUGGGGUCCUCCAGCAUUCCUCCCUGAGCCCCCCAAGGGCCCUGAAGCACAGCGGCCCAGCCCUGGCCUCGGGGUCCUCACCCCACACCUCCCUUCCAGGCCUAACCUUUGCCCCCGACACCAGGCAGCGCGUGUCCUUGGCCUUCGCCGCACAGCCCGCGUGGCAUCUCUGGACAGGUGGCCGUGCGCGCCUUGGUGUGGGCAGGCUCCGUAGCCGGCAAAGCCUCCCUGAACUGUGACCUGGUGAGAAGGCCACAGAGGAGCUGCCUGUGCCCAGAGGCCACCUCCAAAGACCCCACCUGAGGCUGGAACCCAGCGCCUGCUGACCCCGCCAGCCCCAACAGGGCUGGAGUCCAGGAUAGGCCGUGCUCUUUCCGCAGUGAGGCAGCUACCUUCUCUCCCCACCACCUGUCAGGAUGCCUUCCUGCGGGUGUUUGUGCACAGGUCUAAGGAGAGGAGAGUCCAGUGACCCAGACGCCCCAGCCAGGAAGAGCAUGAGGAAAGCAAAGCUGCGGCCUGAGAUCUCCUUCCACCAACUCCUGGCAUGGCCAGAAAGUUAGCCAGAAACACCAGAAAGUGCCAGGCAGCUAGGAGGCACGGGGAGAGCCCCCCGAAGCUGCGUGUGUAGUGCCUGCUUCCGCUGCCAUCCCAGAAACGGAUGAGCUUCACCCUGAGAACCCAGCCACGCCACUGGGACACAUCCUGAUGGUGACAUGCACACUGUCCCCUGGCCCCAGCUGGGAGAGGAGCCUCCUGAAGACACCAGCCUUUGCUCCUUCUCCCUGUGGGGGUGGAGAGAACUGACUGCUGGAGUGGAGACAGUCAAGGCUGUCCUUCUGAGGGAGCACGGCACAGGGUCUGGUGUCCCAGGGAGGCAAUCUGAACUUCAAGCCAGGCCUCCCCAGUGGAGAGGAUACACCCCUCACCAUGCAGAGUGACGUUUAGUAAACUCUCAAAAGACAGCACAGAGCCCCGCUCCUCCAGCCGACCCCUACUCUGCCUCCCCACUCCAGACCAGUGAAAAAGGUGGAUUGCCCUUAAGCCAGCUCAGAGGCAAAGUCCAAAGACCUCAGGUGAGUCAAACAAUAAAAACAAAGAAUUAAGAAGAAUCCAGCUGGGUGCAGUGGCUCACGCCUGUAAUCCCAGCACUUUGGGAGGCUGAGGCAGGAGGAUCACAAGCAGGAGAUUGAGCCCAUCCUGGCUAACACGGUGAAACCCCGUCUCUACUAAAAAAUAGAAAAAAUUAGCUGGGCAUGGUGGCGGGCGCCUGUAGUCCCAGCUACUCCGAAGGCUGAGGCAGGAGAAUGGCGUGAACCCAGGAGGUGGAGCUUGCAGUGAGCCGAGAUCGUGCCACUGCAUUCCAGCCUGGGCGACAGAGCGAGACUCCGUCUCCAAAAAAAAAAAAAAAAAAAAAAAUCCAUCCACUCCAUCCACUUAGAAGCAGAGCGAAUAGACAUUCAGGAAAGAGCUUUCAUGUCAGGACAGAAGUAGUGGCAUAUCCCCGGAGGCUGAGGUGGGAGCAUUGCUGAGAGGUGGCACAUGACCACAUCCAUGUCAUUCAACAACAGAAAAACAAGUCAGCGAGGGUGUGAGGGGCUUGUGAGAAACCCAGUAUGGAAGAAAACACAACUGGGCUGAGCGUGGUGGCUCACGCCUGUAAUCCCAGCACUUUGGGAGGCCAAGGCAGGAGGAUCACUUGAGGUCAGGAGUUCGAGACCAGCCUGGUCAACAUAGUGAAACCUCAUCUCUACUAAAAAUACAAAAAAAUUAGCUGGGUGUGGUGGCGCGUGCCUGUAGUCCCAGCUACGCAGGAGGCUGAGGCAGGAGAACUGCAUGAACCCGGGAGCCGAGACCACACCACUGCACUCCAGCCUGGGGGCGGCACAGUGAGACUCCGUCUCAAAGAAACAAAUAUAAUAAAUAAAUAAAUAAAUAAAUAAGAAAACACAACCAAAGAAACAGAAGAGGACUCCACAGGACUGCUUUCAGAGCUUCACAGCAGCAUGAAUUCAACAAUCAGGAAUUCAAAUGCUUGACGACAAAAUAGCAGGAUGGGAGGAAGAGUUAAGAGCCAAGCAAACCAGAAGCACCAAAAUCACACCGUGGCUGGAUUAAGUCAAAAACAGCAAAGGGCAGAAUAUUAAGUUACUUGGAGAUGAAAGGCUUGAGAUAAUUUCAGAGCAAGACAAAGUGAUUAACACAAUAAUUUACUCAUUUAUUAUUUGUUAAACACCUACUUCAAGCUACAAGCCACUCUAGGCCUUGGAGGGUAAGGAAACAGCUCCUUUGCCCUCAGAGGGUUUGCAAUCUAGCAGGGAGGGGAACAUAAUAAAGUGUAUAAAACCAGG